CCUACGGGAGGCAGCAGUGGGGAAUAUUGGACAAUGGGCGAAAGCCUGAUCCAGCAAUGCCGCGUGAGUGAUGAAGGCCUUAGGGUUGUAAAGCUCUUUUACCAGGGAUGAUAAUGACAGUACCUGGAGAAUAAGCUCCGGCUAACUCCGUGCCAGCAGCCGCGGUAAUACGGAGGGAGCUAGCGUUGUUCGGAAUUACUGGGCGUAAAGCGUACGUAGGCGGUUAUUCAAGUCAGAGGUGAAAGCCUGGAGCUCAACUCCAGAACUGCCUUUGAAACUAGAUAGCUAGAAUCUUGGAGAGGUGAGUGGAAUUCCGAGUGUAGAGGUGAAAUUCGUAGAUAUUCGGAAGAACACCAGUGGCGAAGGCGACUCACUGGACAAGUAUUGACGCUGAGGUACGAAAGCGUGGGGAGCAAACAGGAUUAGAUACCCUGGUAGUCCACGCCGUAAACGAUGAUAACUAGCUGUUCGGGCUCUACGAGCUUGAGUGGCGCAGCUACGACAUUAAGUUAUCCGUCCGUCGGGAGGUACGGUCGCGAGAUUAAACUACAAUAGAAGUUAGUACGGCGUGAGACGUACGCCGACGGACGACGACGAGGGAGGUUAGG
rnacentral:rRNA from 1 species